GUCUGCCUAGUAUAGUGGUUAGUACACUUCGUUGUGGUUCUCGUGAGAGAAACAGACGGUCCGAAGAAACCCAUGUUCGAUUCAUGGGGCAGACA